UCAUGAUGAUGGUGUUCAUGUUCGUCUUCAUCAUGGUCAUGAUGAUGUUCAUGUUCUUCAUGAUCGUGGUGAUGAUGCUCAUGUUCAUGUUCA
rnacentral:misc_RNA from 1 species